rnacentral:rRNA from 1 species
GAUGAACGCUGGCGGCGUGCUUAACACAUGCAAGUCGAACGGAAAGGCCCAAGCUUGCUUGGGUACUCGAGUGGCGAACGGGUGAGUAACACGUGGGUGAUCUGCCCUGCACUUCGGGAUAAGCCUGGGAAACUGGGUCUAAUACCGGAUAGGACGAUGGUUUGGAUGCCAUUGUGGAAAGUUUUUUCGGUGUGGGAUGAGCUCGCGGCCUAUCAGCUUGUUGGUGGGGUAAUGGCCUACCAAGGCGUCGACGGGUAGCCGGCCUGAGAGGGUGUACGGCCACAUUGGGGAUGAGAUACGGGCCAGACUCCUACGGGAGGCAGCAGUGGGGGAUAUUGCACAAUGGGCGCAAGCCUGAGGCAGCGACGCCGCGUGGGGGAUGAAGGCCUUCGGGUUGUAAACUCCCUUCGCUAGGGACGAAGCGUUUUUGUGACGGUACCUGGAGAAGAAGCACCGGCUAACUACGUG